rnacentral:rRNA from 1 species
UACGAAGGGGGCGAGCGUUGUUCGGAAUUACUGGGCGUAAAGGGCGCGCAGGCGGCCUUUGAAGUCAGGUGUGAAAGCCCCGGGCUCAACCUGGGAAUUGCACUUGAUACUCUUGGGCUUGAGUACGGGAGAGGAGAGUGGAAUUCCCAGUGUAGAGGUGAAAUUCGUAGAUAUUGGGAAGAACACCAGUGGCGAAGGCGGCUCUCUGGACCGUAACUGACGCUGAGGCGCGAAAGCGUGGGGAG